AUUCCUGAAGAGUCCUGAAGGGUGUAUCCUGUGAGUUUUCCUGACACAUGGCAUGGGGCCAGCUUCUUCUUUCCAAAUUAACCUCUUCUUGCUGGAGUGCUAUGAAACAAUUGAAGUCUUUCAUUCUAUUUUGAAGAUUUUUGUUUCUUUGAAGAAGGAGUAGUCUUUCUGCAGAUCUAAGCUCCUGUUGACACCACUGAUUAAUUUACUCCAGAUCAGGACCCAUUUUCUCACAACCUG
rnacentral:lncRNA from 1 species